rnacentral:rRNA from 1 species
AGUUUGAUCCUGGCUCAGAUUGAACGCUGGCGGCAUGCUUUACACAUGCAAGUCGAACGGUAACAGGGAGCUUGCUCCGCUGACGAGUGGCGAACGGGUGAGUAAUAUAUCGGAACGUACCUAGAAGUGGGGGAUAACGUAGCGAAAGUUACGCUAAUACCGCAUACGAUCCACGGAUGAAAGUAGGGGACCUUCGGGCCUUAUGCUUUUAGAGCGGCCGAUAUCUGAUUAGCUAGUUGGUGAGGUAAAGGCUCACCAAGGCGACGAUCAGUAGCUGGUCUGAGAGGACGACCAGCCACACUGGAACUGAGACACGGUCCAGACUCCUACGGGAGGCAGCAGUGGGGAAUUUUGGACAAUGGGCGCAAGCCUGAUCCAGCAAUGCCGCGUGAGUGAAGAAGGCCUUCGGGUUGUAAAGCUCUUUUGUCAGGGAAGAAACGGUGGAGGCUAAUAUCCUUUGCUAAUGACGGUACCUGAAGAAUAAGCACCGGCUAACUACGUG